UCUAAGUAUAACCUGCCAGACAGGGAAACUGCGUACGGCUCAUUACACCAGCCUUAAUUUACUUGACCUUGACAACCUACUUGGAUAACUGUGGUAAUUCUAGAGCUAAUACAUGCACCAAAGCUCCGAUCCUCGCGGAGAGGAGCGCAUUUGUUCGCCACAAAACCAAGCGCCCAUCUGGGCGUCCAGUGCUGAACCAGAACAACUCAGCUGAUCGCACGGUCUUGUACCGGCGACGUGUCUUUCAAGUGUCUGCCUUAUCAACUUUCGAUGGUAGUGUACCUGACUACCAUGGUUGUGACGGGUAACGGAGGAUAAGGGUUCGACUCCGGAGAAGGGGCCUGAGAAAUGGCCACUACGUCUAAGGAUGGCAGCAGGCGCGCAAAUUACCCACUCUCAACGCGAGGAGGUAGUGACGAGAAAUAACGAGACCGUUCUCAUACGAGGCCGGUUAUUGGAAUGGGUACAAU
rnacentral:rRNA from 1 species